GACGAACCACACAAACGUUAUUCGGAUUUACUGGGCUUAAAGGGCGCGUAGGCGGCUUGCCAAGUCCGGGGUGAAAGCCUCCAGCUUAACUGGAGAAGUGCCUUGGAUACUGGCGAGCUCGAGCGAGGUAGGGGCGGGUGGAACUUCCGGUGGAGCGGUGAAAUGCGUUGAUAUCGGAAGGAGCGCCGGUGGCGAAAGCGACCCGCUGGACCUCUUCUGACGCUGAGGCGCGAAAGCUAGGGUAGCGAACGGG
rnacentral:rRNA from 1 species